GCUCAGGUAGCUUAAUUGGUAGAGCAAGACACUGAAAAUGUCUGGGUUAUUGGUUCAAGCCCGAUCUUGGGCG
rnacentral:tRNA from 1 species